AGAGGGUGCAAGCGUUAAUCGGAAUUACUGGGCGUAAAGAGCACGUAGGUGGACAAUUAAGUUAGGUGUGAAAGUUCUGGGCUUAACCUGGAAAUGUCAUCUAAAACUGAUUGUCUAGAGUACGAUAGAGGAAAGUAGAAUUUCCGGUGUAGCGGUGAAAUGCGUAGAUAUCGGAAGGAAUACCCGUAGCGAAGGCGACUUUCUGGAUUGAUACUGACACUGAGGUGCGAAAGCGUGGGGAGCAAACAGGGAUUAGAUACCCUGGUAGUCCACGCCGUAAACGAUGAGAACUAGCCCGUUGGGAAGCUUUGACUUCUUUGUGGCGCAGCUAACGCAUUAAGUUCUCCGCCUGGGGAGUACGGCCGCAAGGCUA
rnacentral:rRNA from 1 species